GACGAACGCUGGCGGCGUGCUUAACACAUGCAAGUCGAACGGAAAGGCCCUGCUUUUGUGGGGUGCUCGAGUGGCGAACGGGUGAGUAACACGUGAGUAACCUGCCCUUGACUUUGGGAUAACUUCAGGAAACUGGGGCUAAUACCGGAUAGGAGCUCCUGCUGCAUGGUGGGGGUUGGAAAGUUUCGGCGGUUGGGGAUGGACUCGCGGCUUAUCAGCUUGUUGGUGGGGUAGUGGCUUACCAAGGCUUUGGCGGGUAGCCGGCCUGAGAGGGUGACCGGCCACAUUGGGACUGAGAUACGGCACAGACUCCUACGGGAGGCAGCAGUGGGGAAUAUUGCACAAUGGGCGGAAGCCUGAUGCAGCAACGCCGCGUGCGGGAUGACGGCCUUCGGGUUGUAACCCGCUUUCGCCUGUGACGAAGCGUGAGUGACGGUAAUGGGUAAAGAAGCACCGGCUAACUACGUG
rnacentral:rRNA from 1 species